rnacentral:tRNA from 4 species
GCGGGUGUAGCUCAAUGGUAGAGUUCUGGCCUUCCAAGCCAGCUGUGAGGGUUCGAUCCCCUUCACCCGCAGCA